rnacentral:rRNA from 1 species
AGUGGCGGACGGGUGAGUAACACGUACCUAACCUGCCCAGAAGCGGGGGACAACAUUUGGAAACAGAUGCUAAUACCGCAUAACAACGUUGUUCGCAUGAACAACGCUUAAAAGAUGGCUUCUCGCUAUCACUUCUGGAUGGACCUGCGGUGCAUUAGCUUGUUGGUGGGGUAACGGCCUACCAAGGCGAUGAUGCAUAGCCGAGUUGAGAGACUGAUCGGCCACAAUGGGACUGAGACACGGCCCAUACUCCUACGGGAGGCAGCAGUAGGGAAUCUUCCACAAUGGGCGCAAGCCUGAUGGAGCAACACCGCGUGAGUGAAGAAGGGCUUCGGCUCGUAAAGCUCUGUUGUUAAAGAAGAACACGUAUGAGAGUAACUGUUCAUACGUUGACGGUAUUUAACCAGAAAGUCACGGCUAACUACGUGCCAGCAGCCGCGGUAAUACGUAGGUGGCAAGCGUUAUCCGGAUUUAUUGGGCGUAAAGAGAGUGCAGGCGGUUUUCUAAGUCUGAUGUGAAAGCCUUCGGCUUAACCGGAGAAGUGCAUCGGAAACUGGAUAACUUGAGUGCGGAAGAGGGUAGUGGAACUCCAUGUGUAGCGGUGGAAUGCGUAGAUAUAUGGAAGAACACCAGUGGCGAAGGCGGCUACCUGGUCUGC